rnacentral:rRNA from 1 species
UACGAAGGGGGCUAGCGUUGCUCGGAAUUACUGGGCGUAAAGCGCACGUAGGCGGAUUGUUAAGUCGGGGGUGAAAUCCUGGAGCUCAACUCCAGAACUGCCUUCGAUACUGGCGAUCUCGAGUUCGGGAGAGGUGAGUGGAACUGCGAGUGUAGAGGUGAAAUUCGUAGAUAUCUGGAGGAAUACCGGUGGCGAAGGCGGCAUCCUGGACCGAGAUUGACGCUGAUGAGCGAAAGCUAGGGGAGCAAACGGG